GACGAACGCUGGCGGCGUGCUUAACACAUGCAAGUCGAGCGGUAAGGCCCUUUCGGGGGUACACGAGCGGCGAACGGGUGAGUAACACGUGGGUGACCUGCCCUCAGCUCUGGGAUAAGCCUGGGAAAUUGGGUCUAAUACUGGAUAUGACUCCACGGUGCAUGUCGUGGGGUGGAAAGCCUUGUGCGGCUGAGGAUGGGCCCGCGGCCUAUCAGCUUGUUGGUGGGGUGANGGCCUACCAAGGCGACGACGGGUAGCCGGCCUGAGAGGGCGACCGGCCACACUGGGACUGAGACACGGCCCAGACUCCUACGGGAGGCAGCAGUGGGGAAUCUUGCGCAAUGGGCGAAAGCCUGACGCAGCGACGCCGCGUGAGGGAUGACGGCCU
rnacentral:rRNA from 1 species